rnacentral:rRNA from 1 species
AGGAGGUCUUGCCUGCCCAGUGACAAUGUUAAACGGCCGCGGUAUUUUGACCGUGCGAAGGUAGCGCAAUCACUUGUCUUUUAAAUGAAGACCUGUAUGAAUGGUGAAACGAGGGCUUAACUGUCUCCCUUUUCUAGUCAAUGAAAUUGAUCUGCCCGUGCAGAAGCGGACAUAAAAAUACAAGACGAGAAGACCCUUUGGAGCUUAAGAUAUAAAGAUCACCUAUGUCAAUGAACCCAAACGGUAACAAACUAAAUAGUAACUGAUCUUAAUCUUCGGUUGGGGCGACCACGGGAGAAAACAAAGCUCCCACGCGGACUGGGGUAAACCCUAAAACCAAGAAAAACAUUUCUAAGCAACAGAACUUCUGACCAUUAAGAUCCGGCUAUACGCCGACCAACGGACCAAGUUACCCUAGGGAUAACAGCGCAAUCCCCUUUCAGAGUCCAUAUCGACAAGGGGGUUUACGACCUCGAUGUUGGAUCAGGACAUCCUAAUGGUGCAGCCGCUAUUAAGGGUUCGUUUGUUCAACGAUUAAAGUCCUACG